CUCCUUGUUUGCAGCUGCUCUCAUUCGCGGAAACAGAAACAAUUGCGCUCAAUUCUCCAAUAACCUUGAUUGGCUCAUCAGUAAAUUGGACAGACUAGAAUCUUCCUCAGUAUCUUGGAAGUUUUGCACUGCAUCUUAACUGAAAGCCCAGAAGCCUUAAAUCUGAUAGCGGAGGGCCACAUCAAGUCGAUCAUCUCCCUGUUGGAUAAGCACGGGCGGAAUCACAAGUUCUGGAUAUCCUGUGCUCCCUCUGUCUCUGCAAUGGGGUUGCAGUGAGAGCCAACCAGAAUCUGAUCUGUGACAACUUGCUGCCCCGGAGAAACCUACUCCUGCAGACACGACUGAUUAACGAUGUAACCAGAUCCGGCCAAACAUCUUCCUGGGAGUCGCGGAGGGCUCAGCCCAGUACAAGAAGUGG
rnacentral:lncRNA from 1 species